ACAGCUCAAAUUUGAAAUCUGGCCCCCAGGCCCGAGUUGUAAUUUGCAGAGGAUGCUUUUGGUAAGGUGCCUUCCGAGUUCCCUGGAACGGGACGCCGCAGAGGGUGAGAGCCCCGUACGGUAGGACGCCGAGCCUCUGUAAAGCUCCUUCGACGAGUCGAGUAGUUUGGGAAUGCUGCUCUAAAUGGGAGGUAAAUCUCUUCUAAAGCUAAAUACCGGCCAGAGACCGAUA
rnacentral:rRNA from 1 species